CAGCAGCCACGGGAAUACAGAGGGUGCGAGCGUUAAUCGGAUUUACUGGGCGUAAAGCGUGCGUAGGCGGCUUUUUAAGUCGGAUGUGAAAUCCCUGAGCUUAACUUAGGAAUUGCAUUCGAUACUGGGAAGCUAGAGUAUGGGAGAGGAUGGUAGAAUUCCAGGUGUAGCGGUGAAAUGCGUAGAGAUCUGGAGGAAUACCGAUGGCGAAGGCAGCCAUCUGGCCUAAUACUGACGCUGAGGUACGAAAACAUGGGGAGCAAACAGGAUUAGAUACCCCGGUAGUCCCUGUCUCUUAUAC
rnacentral:rRNA from 1 species